rnacentral:rRNA from 1 species
AUUGAACGCUGGCGGCAGGCCUAACACAUGCAAGUCGAGCGGAUGAAGGGAGCUUGCUCCUGGAUUCAGCGGCGGACGGGUGAGUAAUGCCUAGGAAUCUGCCUGGUAGUGGGGGAUAACGUCCGGAAACGGGCGCUAAUACCGCAUACGUCCUGAGGGAGAAAGUGGGGGAUCUUCGGACCUCACGCUAUCAGAUGAGCCUAGGUCGGAUUAGCUAGUUGGUGGGGUAAAGGCCUACCAAGGCGACGAUCCGUAACUGGUCUGAGAGGAUGAUCAGUCACAAUGGAACUGAGACACGGUCCAGACUCCCACGGGAGGCAGCAGUGGGGAAUAAUGGACAAUGGGCGAAAGCCUGAUCCAGCCAUGCCGCGUGUGUGAAUAGGGUCUUCGGAUUGUAAAGCACUUUAAGUUGGGGGAAAGAGCAGUAAGUUAAUACCUUGCUGUUUAGAGGUUACCAACAGAAUAAGCACCGUAAAACUUCG